UACGUAGGGGGCUAGCGUUGUCCGGAAUCAUUGGGCGUAAAGCGCGCGUAGGCGGCCCGAUAAGUCUGCUGUGAAAGUCCAGGGCUCAACCCUGGAAUGCCGGUGGAUACUGUCGGGCUAGAGUUCGGAAGAGGCAAGUGGAAUUCCUGGUGUAGCGGUGGAAUGCGCAGAUAUCAGGAGGAACACCGAUAGCGAAGGCAGCUCGCUGGGACGGUACUGACGCUGAGGUGCGAAAGCGUGGGGAGCGAACAGG
rnacentral:rRNA from 1 species